GCCAGAUCUACAUGUGAUUUUGUAGCCUAGGGAGUGGAUGCAGCAGCCGCAGCAGCAGCAGCAGAAGCCUCCACAAGCUGCUGCUUCAAUUUCGUGACAUAGUCCGGUCAUCGCUUCCUCCUUGGAUUUCCCUGUGGGCCAUGUGAAAAGUUUCGGAAAUUUAUGUCCACACCAGUCUCCCAUUUGCCCCAAAAACAGAGAUUAAUGUGGUUUCAUAGAUUUGAGAAACUAGAAGGAAUUGAGGCCUUCCAAGCAUCCCAUUUGGCCUUCUCCAUGCUGGAAAGCCAAGGAAGGUUCGAGAGAUGAGAUCAGACUACGUGGUUAGGCGCGAUGAGAAACAAAGAGAGGUUCAGCAAGGUGAUGCAUCUCAGAGAAAGAAGUACAAGAGCAGUAUGUAUCUCGGUUUGUUCCUUGGAGCUUGAAGGAGAUUACACAAAAAGAAAAUCAUAGGACGUACUUAUAUCAUUAAAUCUCAAGUGCUAAUGCUUUUACCAGAAAACAUGUUCAGAUAUAAACAGUGUCGUCAAUUAGCACCAUCUGUAGUGAUUUGCCCAUUAUUAACAGCAGCAGGCCUGACAUAUAUAAUGGUGUUGACUGGGCCGACAAUGACCAGCUUGAACAACCAAUCAGCCAUUGUCAUCUUGAGUUGCUCAAUUUGUAUGUAUAGCUUCACCUGUUGUUAACAGGUCUCCAUCAGUUUUUCCACAUCAACCACGUCUGCCGGCACCAACUAUCAUGAGUGAUGACAGAUAUUACUAUACAUAUAAAACAGGAUGGUAACAUUUUGUACUAAAGAUGCUUCCCGCCUCGGUGCUAUAAAGCGGGGCGAAAGCCUUUUUCGGUAAAGAUGCUUCCCGCUGCCUUCCUUGAGAUGCUCACUUGUCUUUUUUGUCCCAAAGUUCAGAUUAAUAAAUCUCAGGAGUUGGUAAGAGCAAUUAUUGGUUUGGUAAGAGAAGCAAGAGCGAUGCUAACCAGCCAGAAGGUGUGUACGCAAGUCUAAAGGGCAUGAGGAUUGCAAGAGCUUCUGCCGGUUCUUGUUGGCUUCAACAACGAGACUAGUGUUCCCCAAAUCUGGCCGGAUCUUCAUCGAUUACAAGCCAGACCACUAGGUGGUUGUUCUUUGGUUCUGUCCAAAAAGGAAUAACAAGGACAUCUCCAGCAACUUGUCAUCAACAACAAGUUAGUACACUCUCGGUCAUACCUGGGCUCCAGGAGAGUCCAGGAUCUGUACGAUUAAGCUUCAAUUACCACAAGACCAGCCGAGCACCAGGUCUCUUUGUUUUUCUGCGAGGAUCUGGGAAACUAUUCUGAUGGUACCAGACUCAGACCUGCAUAAGGAGAUCAGCAAGACCGAUUGGAUCUAGGCAGACGGGGUCGUAUUUCUAUUUUCAGUUAUCUACUCCACUAAUAUUCCUGAGACGAGCCAGUUUUGUUUUCAGACUUGUAUUCGCCUGAGCUAGCUGUGAACUAUGUACGAUUUCACACAUUUUAGCUGUGGCUGUUAAACAGAAGAAUUAUUUUGUGAUUCAUUUACUUUCCAAAGAAUUGGCUUGCGAUGCAUUAAUGCCUAGCUAUUCAAUUUCAUCGUCAUAUGACUACUGUCUUCAGUCGUUGCUUUUGUAUCUCAGUUGAAGUGAUAUUGCUCAGCGCAGUGUCUGUGUUCCGUUUUAUAUGUAAUUAUGUUCCAUGUGAGCGUGCGGCCUAUGUCUGCCUCUCUACUGGCUGCCGUCGAGAGGGAGAAGGCCCGCCCCUGACAUUGUCCUCUGACAUGCCUGUUAUUCGCAGCUUCCAUCGGCCAAAUGUAGGUGCACAUCUAAGCUAGCUGUACAGUAUGCCAAGGCAGUAAUAAGUACACAUCUUGUAUUUUAGCUUCUUCCUGUUUCUGGUCUAUUCCCAGAUUCGUGUAAGAAAAAGAAGCCUCUACGGCAAAAAGAUGAAGAACUGAAGUGCAUGAUCAAGAUGAAGACUGAGCAUGAGAAAAGUGCAUUUCCCCUCUUUACAACUAACUGCAGAGAGGCUUUUUGCAAACUUCUCCGCGUGAUGAAUCUUCAUCUAGUGAGUUCAUUUUGGUGUAGGGAUUGGCAUGCAGCAGUGGAUGGAAAUUCUUGAUGCAGGAUUCCCCUUGGAAAGCUUAUUAGUAUGUUUCCCAUACCAGUACCAUACAAUGCUACCCUGUAAAUACUUGCUAUACCUCUGUGCAGGUGUUGAAGGUGCACAGGCAGUUGAGUGGAAAUGUUGGCAGCCCAUUUUGUAGUACGUUGCCUCUGCAUUUUCUCAAAACAUCUACAGUAUGCUUGCUUGUUUACUGUAUUUCUAUAUGUGGGUGGAUGUAUGCCUCUUCAUAUAUAGUUCAACUGUUCCAGUCA